rnacentral:rRNA from 1 species
AGAGUUUGAUCCUGGCUCAGAUUGAACGCUGGCGGCAGGCCUAACACAUGCAAGUCGAGCGGAUGAAGGGAGCUUGCUCCUGGAUUCAGCGGCGGACGGGUGAGUAAUGCCUAGGAAUCUGCCUGGUAGUGGGGGACAACGUUUCGAAAGGAGCGCUAAUACCGCAUACGUCCUACGGGAGAAAGCAGGGGACCUUCGGGCCUUGCGCUAUCAGAUGAGCCUAGGUCGGAUUAGCUUGUUGGUGAGGUAAUGGCUCACCAAGGCGACGAUCCGUAACUGGUCUGAGAGGAUGAUCAGUCACACUGGAACUGAGACACGGUCCAGACUCCUACGGGAGGCAGCAGUGGGGAAUAUUGGACAAUGGGCGCAAGCCUGAUCCAGCCAUGCCGCGUGUGUGAAGAAGGUCUUCGGAUUGUAAAGCACUUUAAGUUGGGAGGAAGGGCAGUAGAUUAAUACUCUGCUGUUUUGACGUUACCAACAGAAUAAGCACCGGCUAACUCUGUGCCASCAGCCGCGGUAAUACAGAGGGUGCAAGCGUUAAUCGGAAUUACUGGGCGUAAAGCGCGCGUAGGCGGCUAGGUAAGAUGGGUGUGAAAUCCCCGGGCUCAACCUGGGAACUGCAUCCAUAACUGCCUGGCUAGAGUACAGUAGAGGGUGGUGGAAUUUCCUGUGUAGCGGUGAAAUGCGUAGAUAUAGGAAGGAACACCAGUGGCGAAGGCGACCACCUGGACUGAUACUGACGCUGAGGUGCGAAAGCGUGGGGAGCAAACAGGAUUAGAUACCCUGGUAGUCCACGCCGUAAACGAUGUCAACUAGCCGUUGGAAUCCUUGAGAUUUUAGUGGCGCAGCUAACGCACUAAGUUGACCGCCUGGGGAGUACGGCCGCAAGGUUAAAACUCAAAGGAAUUGACGG